rnacentral:lncRNA from 1 species
UUUUUUUUUUUGCUUUUUAAAAUGAAUUCUACCAAAUACAUCAUAACCUAAAAAAUGUAGGAUUGGGUUUGCCUGGUGAACAAAAUAGGUAUCACAUUAUAUUUCUUCCCUGGCCUGUACGUUUUACUCAACAUUGUUUCUGAGACAUCCAUGUGGUUAGCAAAACUGUCGUUCCUUAUUUUCAUCUCUGUGUUACAGUCCCCUGUGCGUCUCUACCGAGUUCUAUUCAUGUUUUCUCCUGCCCACAGAUAUUUGGGUUGUCUUUAUUUCUUUUUCUAAAACAAGCCUUCCUGCUAUGAACAUUCUCCUAUUUCAUAUUACGCAGGUGCUAAUGUUUCCUUUGGGUAUAUAUCUAGCUGUGGUUUUUAAAGCAUGAACAGUUUUACAAGAUAAUGAAGCAUUAUUUUCCAAAGUGGUUAUAUUAAUUUACUCGUCAACCAGCAAUGUGAUCACAUUGAUUCCCAUUCCCUUCAAACUUGAUGUGUUAGACUUCUUAACUAGUAUUGGUAAUUGUAAAAUAGUAGCUCUGUGUGCUUUUCAUGUACUUUUCCCUGACAAUGAGGUUGAGCAGUGCUUCAUGUUAAUUUGCUCUAUUUCCUUUUUUGUGAAAUGCCUAUUUAAAUCUUUUGUGCAGUUUUUUAAUUAGGCUAUUUUUCUUAUUUGUUUGUAGAAAUCUUUAUAUAUUCUGUAUGGUAAUUCUUUGUGUUGUAAGAAUGUCUCCCAUUUGUAGCUUUUAUUUUCUUCAUAGUAUCUUUUGAUGACAUGUUUUUAUGGCUCAUUUUAAUGUCUGAAUUUGUUAAUAUCAUCUUUUAUGAUGAGCAUAUUUCUAUCUGGUUUAGAAAAUUAUUCCUUAUCGUAAUAUCAGAAAGAUAUUCACUUACAUUUUCUUCUAAAAGUUAAAGUUUGGCUUAGAUAUUUAUUUAUUUAUUUAUUUUUGGUCUUUUUUUUUUUUUCUUCUUCUUUUUAGAUCGACACCCAUGGCACGUGGAGUUUCCCAGGCUAGGGGUCUAAUCAGAGCUGUAGCUGCCUGCCUACACCACAGCCACAGCAACUCGGAUCCGAGCCUUGUCUGCGACCUACACCACAGCUCAAGGCAAUGCCAGAUCCUUAACCUACUGAGCAAGGCCAGGAUGAAACCAGUGUUCUCAUGGACACUAGUCGGGUUUGUAAGCUGCUGCCACAAUGGAAACUCCCUAAUCAUUUAUUUUUAGAUUCUCUGGGGGAAUUUCGAUGUAGACAAUCAUAUCAUCUGCAAAUAAUGACAGUUCUUCCUUUCCUCAACAAAUUUCAAUAAAUUUAAACACUUUCAUCAAGUGUUUAAAUUUAUUUUUCUUGACUUACUGUGCUGUAUAGGGUCUCUAUAAAGUGCUAAACAGAAGUAAUAAGAGUAGGUACCUUUGCUUUUUUCCUGAUUUUCAAAAGAAAACUUCCAAUGUUUUCCUAUUUAGCAUGAUUUUUGUUGUAGUGGUUUUUAUUUAAGAUUGGAUUCUAAUGAAAUAUUUGAAGUCUCCCACAACAUUCAGUUUUCAUUUCAUUGUCCAGAACUUAGCCAUCGCAAUACUCAUUGCUAAAAGGGAGUUGGGAAAUACAAUCUGUUAGCAGGGCAAAUGGAGUUCUGUUAAUUUGAGAUAGAAAGUUAGAAUGGAUAUUUGGUUGGUAAUGAGUUGGCCAUAUCUUCCAGGUGUUACCCAGAAACCAAGAUGGGCCAUGAGACUAGUGUCACUCAGAUAUCUUGCUAGAUUUAAAAAUAUCCUAGGCCUUUAUGUGAAAUUAUAAAAACAAAUAAUAACAUUACAAAAAAGCUGGAAGGUACUUCCUUAACCCUCAACCUCACAUACUC